UGAACGCUGGCGGCAUGCCUUACACAUGCAAGUCGAACGGCAGCGCGGACUUCGGUCUGGCGGCGAGUGGCGAACGGGUGAGUAAUACAUCGGAACGUACCCUGUUGUGGGGGAUAACUAGUCGAAAGAUUAGCUAAUACCGCAUACGACCUGAGGGUGAAAGUGGGGGACCGCAAGGCCUCACGCAGCAGGAGCGGCCGAUGUCUGAUUAGCUAGUUGGUGGGGUAAAGGCCCACCAAGGCGACGAUCAGUAGCUGGUCUGAGAGGACGAUCAGCCACACUGGGACUGAGACACGGCCCAGACUCCUACGGGAGGCAGCAGUGGGGAAUAUUAGACAAUGGGCGAAAGCCUGAUCCAGCAAUGCCGCGUGAGUGAUGAAGGCCUUAGGGUUGUAAAGCUCUUUUACCCGGGAUGAUAAUGACAGUACCGGGAGAAUAAGCUCCGGCUAACUCCGUGCCAGCAG
rnacentral:rRNA from 1 species